rnacentral:rRNA from 1 species
UUGGAGGGCAAGUCUGGUGCCAGCAGCCGCGGUAAUUCCAGCUCCAAUAGCGUAUAUUAAAGUUGUUGCAGUUAAAAAGCUCGUAGUUGAAUUUCGGGAUCAGCAGGUUGGUCGUGCCUCUGGUAUGCACUGGUUUCGCUGAUUCCUCCUUUCUGAAGAACUGUAAUGUCAUUAAUUUGGUGUUGCAGGGAAACAGGACUGUUACUUUGAAAAAAUUAGAGUGUUUAAAGCAGGCUAACGCUUGAAUACAUUAGCAUGGAAUAAUGAAAUAGGACGUUUGAUCCUAUUUUGUUGGUUUCUAGGAUUGACGUAAUGAUUAAUAGGGAUAGUUGGGGGCAUUAGUAUUCAAUUGUCAGAGGUGAAAUUCUUGGAUUUAUUGAAGACUAACUACUGCGAAAGCAUUUGCCAAGGAUGUUUUCAUUAAUCAAGAACGAAAGUUAGGGGAUCGAAGACGAUCAGAUACCGUCGUAGUCUUAACCAUAAACUAUGCCGACUAGGGAUCGGAUGAUGUUAAUUUUUUAAUGACUCAUUCGGCGCCUUACGGGAAAC